rnacentral:rRNA from 1 species
CCUACGGGAGGCAGCAGUGGGGAAUAUUGGGCAAUGGAGGAAACUCUGACCCAGCGACGCCGCGUGCGGGAUGAAGGCCUUCGGGUUGUAAACCGCUUUCAGUAGGGAAGAAGCGAAAGUGACGGUACCUACAAAAGAAGCACCGGCUAACUAUGUGCCAGCAGCCGCGGUAAUACAUAGGGUGCAAGCGUUGUCCGGAAUUAUUGGGCGUAAAGAGCUCGUAGGUCGUUUGUUACGUCGGAUGUGAAAACCUGAGGCUCAACCUCAGGCCUGCAUUCGAUACGGGCAAACUAGAGUUUGGUAGGGGAGACUGGAAUUCCUGGUGUAGCGGUGGAAUGCGCAGAUAUCAGGAGGAACACCAAUGGCGAAGGCAGGUCUCUGGGCCAAUACUGACACUGAGGAGCGAAAGUCUGGGGAGCGAACAGGAUUAGAUACCCUGGUAGUCCAGACCGUAAACGGUGGGCACUAGUUGUGGGAACCUUCCACGGUUUCUGCGACGCAGCUAACGCAUUAAGUGCCCCGCCUGGGGAGUACGAUCGCAAGAUUAAAACUCAAAGGAAUUGACGGCUUGAAAGUGCGACGAGACACAGGAGGAG